GCGCAGCAGGCGAGAAACUUCACAAUGUGCGAAAGCACGAUGAGGGAAUCCCAAGUGCUUGCUCGUAAGAGUAAGCUGUUUCUCUGUCUAAAACGCAGAGAGAGUAAGGGCUGGGUAAGACGGGUGCCAGCCGCCGCGGUAAUACCUGCAGCUCGAGUGGUGGCCGCUAUUAUUGGGCCUAAAAACGUCCGUAGCCGGUUUAUUAAAUGCCUGGGUAUAUCGGACCGCUUAACGGUUCGAAUUCCGGGUAGACUGAUAAAACUUGAGACCGGGAGAAGCUAGAGGUACUCCUGGGGUAGAGGUGAAAUUCUGUAAUCCUAGGGGGACCACCAGUGGCGAAAGGCGUCUAGCUAGAACGGGUCUGACGGUGAGGGACGAAGCCCUGGGGCGCAAAACGGGAUUAGAUACCCCGAUAGU
rnacentral:rRNA from 1 species